AAUGAACGUUGGCGGCGUGGAUUAGGCAUGCAAGUCGCGCGACAAGGAACCUUCGGGUUCUGGAGGAGCGGCAAACGGGGUAGUAAGGCAUCGGAACGUACCCUCUUGUUGGGAAUAGCCGCGGGAAACUGCGAGUAAUGCCCAAUAAUCCCUACGGGGCAAAGGUCCGCCGCAGGAGGAGCGGCCGAUGUGAUACCAGCUAGUUGGUGAGGUAAUGGCUCACCAAGGCUUAGACGUCUAGGGGGUGUGAGAGCAUGGCCCCCACCACUGGACGUGAGAUACUGCCCACGACACCUACCGGGUGGGCUG
rnacentral:rRNA from 1 species